AACGAACGCUGGCGGCAUGCCUAACACAUGCAAGUCGAACGAGACCUUCAGGUCUAGUGGCGCACGGGUGCGUAACGCGUGGGAACCUGCCCUUAGGUUCGGCAUAACUCCCCGAAAGGGGUGCUAAUACCGGAUAAUGUCUUCGGACCAAAGAUUUAUCGCCUUUGGAUGGGCCCGCGUUGGAUUAGCUAGUUGGUAGGGUAAAAGCCUACCAAGGCGACGAUCCAUAGCUGGUCUGAGAGGAUGAUCAGCCACACUGGGACUGAGACACGGCCCAGACUCCUACGGGAGGCAGCAGUGGGGAAUAUUGGACAAUGGGCGAAAGCCUGAUCCAGCAAUGCCGCGUGAGUGAUGAAGGCCUUAGGGUUGUAAAGCUCUUUUACCCGGGAUGAUAAUGACAGUACCGGGAGAAUAAGCUCCGGCUAACUCCGUG
rnacentral:rRNA from 1 species